UCUUUGUGGAAGAGGAGGAACACUUUCUG
rnacentral:piRNA from 1 species